UAGGAGAUAGUAUAAUGGAAGUACGGAGAGUUUUGGAAUCUCAGGUGUGGGUUCGAAUCCUAUUCUUCUAG
rnacentral:tRNA from 1 species